UACGUAGGGGGCGAGCGUUGUCCGGAUUUACUGGGCGUAAAGGGUGAGUAGGCGGUUGUAUAUGUCAGGUGUAAAAGGCUAUGGCUUAACCAUGGUUAGCACUUGAAACUGUACAACUUGAGUGCAGGAGAGGUAAGUGGAAUUCCUAGUGUAGCGGUGAAAUGCGUAGAUAUUAGGAGGAACACCAGUGGCGAAGGCGACUUACUGGACUGUAACUGACGCUGAGUCACGAAAGCGUGGGUAGCAAACAGGAUUAGAUACCCGCGUAGUCCCU
rnacentral:rRNA from 1 species